UACGGGGGGGGGCAAGCGUUGUUCGGAAUUACUGGGCGUAAAGGCUUGUAGGCGGCCAACUAAGUCCGACGUGAAAUCCCCAGCUUAACCUGGGAACUGCGUCGGAUACUGGAUGGCUUGAAUUCGGGAGAGGGAUGCAGAAUUCCAGGUGUAGCGGUGAAAUGCGUAGAUAUCUGGAGGAAUACCGGUGGCGAAGGCGGCAUCCUGGACCGACAUUGACGCUGAGGAGCGAAAGCUAGGGGAGCAAACGGGGAU
rnacentral:rRNA from 1 species